rnacentral:rRNA from 1 species
AUUGAACGCUGGCGGCAGGCCUAACACAUGCAAGUCGAGCGGAUGAAGGGAGCUUGCUCCUGGAUUCAGCGGCGGACGGGUGAGUAAUGCCUAGGAAUCUGCCUGGUAGUGGGGGAUAACGUCCGGAAACGGGCGCUAAUACCGCAUACGUCCUGAGGGAGAAAGUGGGGGAUCUUCGGACCUCACGCUAUCAGAUGAGCCUAGGUCGGAUUAGCUAGUUGGUGGGGUAAAGGCCUACCAAGGCGACGAUCCGUAACUGGUCUGAGAGGAUGAUCAGUCACACUGGAACUGAGACACGGUCCAGACUCCUACGGGAGGCAGCAGUGCGGAAUAUUGGACAAGGGGCGAAAGCCUGAUCCAGCCAUGCCGCGUGUGUGAAGAAGGUCUUCGGAUUGUAAAGCACUUUAAGUUGGGAGGAAGGGCAGUAAGUUAAUACCUUGCUGUUUUGACGUUACCAACAGAAUAAGCACCGGCUAACUUCGUG